AAGGGGCGUGUCCUCACCCGGUAGGAGGGAUUAAUUAGGAAAAGAGGCGUGGUUAAUUAAGGAAAGGGGCGUGUCCUCACCCGGUGGAAGGGAUUAAUUAGGAAAAGAGGCGUGGUUAAUUGGUUAAUUAAGGAAAGGGGCGUGUCCUCACCCGGUGGGAGGGAUUAAUUAGGAAAAGAGGCGUGGUUAAUUGGUUCAUUAAGGAAAGGGGCGUGUCCUCACCCGGUGGGAGGGGUUAAUUAGCAAAUGAGGCGUGGUUAAUUAAGGAAAGGGGCGUGUCCUCACCCGGUGGGCGGGGCCGGCGAAGGCGGGGCGGAGUCGGAAGAGCUGGAGCUGGAGUCGGAGUCGGAGUCGGACGAGGAGGAGGAGGAGGACGAGGAGGAAGAGGAGGAGGAGGACGACGACGAGGAGCUGCCCUUGGGGCCGGCGGCCGGCGGAGCACUGGGAGCACUGGGAGCACUGGGAGCACUGGGAGCCGCUGGUGUGCCGGUACUGGGAGCACUGGGAGCACUGGGAGAUGCAGCCACGGUGGUACUGGUGAUACUGGGAGCACUGGGAAUGCUCUGAGGUGCCGCACUGGUGGUACUGGGAGCACUGGGUGCCAUCAGUGUGCCCAUACUGGUGGUACUGGGAGCACUGGGAGAACUGGGAGCACUGGGAGCCACUGCCACGCUGUUACUGGUGGUACUGGGAGCUGCUGCCACGACGGUACUGGUGUUACUGGGAGCACUGGGAGCCGCUGCCGUGAUGGUACUGGGAGCACUGGGAGCCGCAGCACGGGUGCCACUGGUCAAACUGGGAGCAGCGCUGCUCAUACUGGGAGCACUGGUCAAACUGGUGGCGCUGAGAACGGCAGCACUGGCGGCACUGGGAGCCGUGGAACCGGUCGUACUGGUGACACUGGUUAAACUGGGAGCCGUGGAACUGGUCGUACUGGUGACACUGGUUAAACUGGGAGCCGUGGAACUGGUCAAACUGGUGAUACUGGUUAAACUGGGAGCCGUGGAACUGGUCAAACUGGUGAUACUGGGAGCCACAGCACUGCUCAAACUGGUUGUACUGGGAGCCGCUGCACUGGUCAAACUGGGAGCCGCCGCACCGGUCAAACUGGUCACACUGGUCGCACUGGUGACACUGGGAGCCGCAGCACUGGUCAAACUGGGAGCCACAGCACUGGUCAAACUGGUCGAACUGGUGACACUGGGAGCUGCAGCACUGGUCAAACUGGGAGCCGCCGCACUGGUCAAACUGGUCACACUGGUCGCACUGGUGACACCCGGACUGGUCCCGCCGGUGGCUUUAGGGACAAUCCCAGCACCGACCCUCCCCGGACUGGUCGUACUGGUCAAACUGGGAGCGCUGGGAGCCGCGCCGGCGGCGGCUCUGGUGACGAUGACGCCGCCGCCCAAACUGGGAGCGCCGGUGGCCUUACUGGUGGCACUGGUCAUACUGGUGAUGCCGGUCGUGCUGGUUAUACUGGUGAUACUGGUGAUGCCGGUCAUGCUGGUCAUACUGGUGAUACUGGUGAUGCCGGUGGCUCCGGCGGCCCUGGCCAUGGCCGUGGCCUUGGCGUUGGCGUCGGCGCUGGCGCGCAGGAUGGCGGC
rnacentral:lncRNA from 1 species